rnacentral:snoRNA from 1 species
AUUCGGCAUGAUAACUAGAUGACGGUCUCACAAACACAACGGCCAUAGUCCUUUAAGUUGCCGAUAUAUCAUUUGCGAGGAUCUUACACGUUCUCUGAUUUCUCUCCUGACGUUACACGUUUAAUCUUUCGCAACAUAC